GGCAACACUGGUCGGCAUCCAAAGGGCGAAUGGCUACCCGAAGCACCCGAUGACUGUCUAGUACACGCAUACUCCACCAGGAGAAACUUCUAUGAAGUGACUUGAAGAAAGUACGUACUGAAGAUAAGGGAUUUGAAGAAGUCUGGCUCAGCUUCUGAUGAAGGCUGUGAAUCGACAUUACUUUUAGAAAAUUUUAUUUCUAUGUGACCGGGAAAUUGAAGUGUCGAUUAAUGCCAUAGAUGAUGAUGUUGGCACCAUGUUUAUCUUACCGCACUGAACACACUACUGGCAUCGUCGGGCAGGCCCACCUCUCCAUCGCCUCACCCGUGUGGACAACAUUCAUGGAUGAAGAUGGCUUCUCAAAGGGAGGCAAGGAAGUGUUCUCAGGAGGAGAUUAGCCGAGCCGGAUUCAUCAGCCAUGAUGUAUUCAAGUGGUAAUGAUUACUCAAGAGAUGGAGUUUAUAUCCGUCCCGUCUCUGUGCUUUUCCAGUGUCCAGUGGUGGUGAAGUAUUCCACUUUCUGUGAUGUCAGUUGGUCACUUGUACCUAAGGUUAAAUAACUUGGACCCAUAGCUAUUUUUGAGUUUCCAGUGUCCAGUGCUGGAGAAUAUUCCAUUUUCUGUGGUGCCAGUUGGUCACAGAUGCCUAAGGUUUAAAUGACUUGAACCCAUAGCUAAUGUGAAGUGAAUUUGCAGGACUAGCAGAUAGAUCAUUUGUCUAAUUGUUUGCUGAGGCUUUGAUUGUCUGGAUUUAGCAUGUUUUCAUUCAGUAGUACUUUAUAAAAAGUGGUUUAAU